AUUGAACGCUGGCGGCAGGCCUAACACAUGCAAGUCGAGCGGAUGAAGGGAGCUUGCUCCUGGAUUCAGCGGCGGACGGGUGAGUAAUGCCUAGGAAUCUGCCUGGUAGUGGGGGAUAACGUCCGGAAACGGGCGCUAAUACCGCAUACGUCCUGAGGGAGAAAGUGGGGGAUCUUCGGACCUCACGCUAUCAGAUGAGCCUAGGUCGGAUUAGCUAGUUGGUGGGGUAAAGGCCUACCAAGGCGACGAUCCGUAACUGGUCCGAGAGGAUGAUCAGUCACACUGGAACUGAGACACGGUCCCGACUCCUACGGGAGGCAGCAGUGGGGAAUAUUGGACAAUGGGCGAAAGCCUGAUCCAGCCAUGCCGCGUGUUUGAAGAAGGUCUUCGGAUUGUAAAGCACUUUAAGUUGGGAGGAAGGGCAGUAAGUUAAUACCUUGCUGUUUUGACGUUACCAACAGAAUAAGCACCGGCUAACUUCGUG
rnacentral:rRNA from 1 species